rnacentral:rRNA from 1 species
UACGUAGGGGGCAAGCGUUAUCCGGAUUUACUGGGUGUAAAGGGAGCGUAGACGGAAAGGCAAGUCAGAAGUGAAAACCCAAGGCUCAACCAUGGGACUGCUUUUGAAACUGUCGAACUAGAGUACGGGAGAGGUAAGAGGAAUUCCUAGUGUAGCGGUGAAAUGCGUAGAUAUUAGGAGGAACACCAGUGGCGAAGGCGUCUUACUGGACCGAAACUGACGUUGAGGCUCGAAAGCGUGGGGAGCAAACAGG